GCUAACUAUAGAAUUCUGAGUGUGUAUACAUAAAAUAUUAUAAUAUAUAAUUAUAUUUUAUAUAUACACACUCAGAAUUCUAUAGUUAGC